ensembl:lncRNA
UCUCUGUGUGUGUGUGUGUGUGUGUGUGUGUGUGUGUGUGUGUGUGUGUGUGUCCAUGCAUGUGGGGGCAGGUAGCAUGUAUAUUUCCUGGAGAGCCUGUGAAGGUCAAAGUUUAACUCAAGUGAGGUCUUUCUCAAACUCAUAAAGGACCUAGUAACUGAACUCUACUACCUAUUAUUGGAAAAGCUUUUGUAGGUGAAGAACCUGAAGGAUCUGAGGCUGUGCCAGUACAUGCUGGAGAAAUACUUGACUGGACUCGGGAGUAGGAGCCUAGACAUUGGCCCACAGAAGUGCUGUUCUCCUUCUUUGGAUACCCGUCACAACAACACAAUCUUCUCUGUCUACUGGAGUUGUCUUGGUUGUAGAUUUGGAGAUCCUCAAUAUCCCAGCUUAGUUCUCUAAUGUUAAGUCAUAUCGACUCUUAGCAUAGUACUUUAUUUGCCACUGUUCUUUCUACCUUUAUUUUGCCAGAAUUUUCUAUGGGUAAGUUAUUCCAUCUAUAACACUUUAUGAUGUGUAAGCCCACACGAAGGUACCCAGAGCCCCUACACAAUGUGCUCUUAUUUACCUGUGAGAAGUCCAAGCCAGUAACCCCAAUCUUAACUCAGUGGUGAGAAGGAAUUUAAAACUUAGAACAGGACUUGUUUUCAUUCCUUUCUUGUUAGUAUCAUUCACAACUUCUGUAGAAGUUGGGAGUCCAGAAAGCAAAGGGCGGGAUUUUCUCACAUGAUCUUGACCCAUGUUGGGUUUUUUGUCUUCCAUCUCCACCUUUAACAUUUAAUAUACCACAUCUCUCCAAAGGUCAUGCCUAUUCUAGUGUGCUGCACUCAGUGAAGAAGUUGGAGGAAGUGUCAAAAGAGUGAAGGCCAAGCUCUGACUGUGACAGAGAGUUUGAGAUGGACAAAUGAUGCCUUGAAAAACACGUGACUUUUCGCUGUGACCUCCAUCUACUGUAAAUAACCAACAACCUGUUCAAGGAUCAAUGUGCCUCUGAGAUGAGGACAACAAGGUAGAAGGGAGUCCACAGAAGGAAACGGGUCUGAGGGCUAACACCAUAACGCUUCCAAUUCUGUCUUCUAGGCAUCACUAAGAAAUCUAUAUAGUCCUACCUCCCAGAAGAUGAGUGAAGGUGUUACAGUUAGGAUGACUGUUGACAUGAGGCUCUCAGAGGUUCACCACAAAUCGGAAGGACAAGAUUGAGAUUGCCAUUCUUACGGUCUUUCCAUAGUCUCCCCUUGCAAUUAGAAUUGACCAUCACUGGGGACCUCAUCUAUUAGAUGAAGCUUUUUGAUACUGAAGAGAUUGUUCUACCUGAUGAGCCCAGGCCUAGAAGAUGGACUACAUCCAAGAAGCCUGGCCCAUCUAAGGCCAAGUCACAUCUUUAAGAAAUAUUUGAAAGCAUUUGUGCACGGGAUAAAGGUGCAAGGACCAAAGUCUCCUUAGACAUUCCAGCCUACAGAGGGUCUGACAGACUCAGGUCAAAGGUUACGUCUGAAGCCUAGAUCAUGAAGAAGGCCCCACUCCACAGGAGAAGCCUGUGGCUGAUGCUGUUGCAACCAGGACUAUGAUUGUGAAACUUGUGUCUGUGGAUAGCAGAUUCACGAAUCUUGUGCCCAGAGGUCAAAAUAAACCUGUCAGUCCGGGAGUCUUAACAAGAAUGAUACUCUGGGAUUCAUCUAAGCCAGGCCUCUUACUCAACCCUUCUGCUGCCUAUUUCUUGGUUCUAAGCAUGGACCUCAAAGUCACCCUAAGCCUGCAUCCUGAGUUCACACCCUGAGAUGCACUUAAGACUGACCUGAGAGCUGCUCAAGAGGACACACACGGGUUACACCACAAAGAAAACUCUAUCAAAGCUGACAUAGGCCAGGAAUUUGGUUCCUGACUCGACAGUGCUUGUCCAGUGAGUGUUUUACAAAUUAUAUGGAUUCCCAGGACCAGAGCCAGAGUCACAAAGUCAGGAGCAGUGUAUAGUGUGAAAUUAAUAGCCAACAGAAUCUUCGGUAGCAAGCUAAGAACCUGCAGAGAAACCUCAAACCCAGCCUGCUGGAUGGUGCCAAGAUCCAGUAAGGAACACUUCCUAAGAGAAAACUCUUCCUGGGAGAAUUGCAGCCCAAUAAAUGGAUGCUCUCAUGAUUCUCGGUGAAAUAACUCAUGGACCCUUUUUCCUUGUGAACAGGGAACUUCAAAACAUCAUGGGGUGAGGUGAGGUGAGAUCCAGGGAAGAAGGCUGCCCUUUGG